rnacentral:rRNA from 1 species
UCAGUCGACUCCUACGGGGAGGCAGCAGUGGGAAUUUGGACAAUGGGGGCAACCUGAUCCAGCAAUGCCGCGUGAGUGAAGAAGGCCUCGGGUUGUAAAGCUCUUUGUCAGGGAAGAAACGGUGAUCUCUAAUAUAGAUUGCUAAUGACGGUACCUGAAGAUAAGCACCGGCUAACUACGUGCCAGCAGCCGCGGUAAUACGUAGGGUGCAAGCGUUAAUCGGAAUUACUGGGCGUAAAGCGUGCGCAGGCGGUUUUGUAAGUCUGAUGUGAAAUCCCCGGGGCUCAACCUGGGAACUGCAUUGGAGACUGCAAGGCUAGAGUGUGUCAGAGGGGGGUAGGAAUUCCACGUGUAGCAGUGAAAUGCGUAGAGAUGUGGAGGAAUACCGAUGGCGAAGGCAGCCCCCUGGGAUAACACUGACGCUCAUGCACGAAAGCGUGGGGAGCAAACAGGAUUAGAUACCCUGGUAG